AUUGUGUGAUGAAUAGCCAUGCUAAUACCGAGAAAGUUACAGACUUUCACUGAGUUAAUUUCAAACAAAAAUAUCUGAUAUUA